rnacentral:ncRNA from 1 species
GGUGCAGGCCGUGACUGGCGCGUUGGGAUGGGAUCGACCAUCGGGAAGCGGCCUCGUCGAAGGACGGAGUGCCGUGCGCCUGGGCCCCCUUC